rnacentral:misc_RNA from 1 species
GAAAUGCGAUAAGUAAUGCGAAUUGCAGAAUUCAGUGAGUCAUCGAAUCUUUGAACGCAUAUUGCGCCCUUUGGUAUUCCGAAGGGCAUGCCUGUUCGAGCGUCAUUAUCAACCAUCAAGCCUGGCUUGUCGUUGGACUAUUUUUGCGGCUGAAAUAUGCGGCAAGUCCGAAAAAUAAUGACAGUGUCGUGUUUGACCCUAAAUGCAACGAGCUUUUCAUAGCACGCAUUGAAGUGGUUGACCGACCCCUCGGUCUUAAUCUAUACAUUUUUCUAAGGUUGACCUCGGAUCAGGUAGGAAUACCCGCUGAACUUAA